CUUUUGCAUUUUACAACGGAUUACUUUAUAAACCGGAUUGAGGGAGAGGUGCAGAAUCUCUGUCCAUUUUCAGGGGUGGAGGAGACCUCAUCAUAAGCGGCAACAAUGCCGGUCAUAAAUGUAGAAGAUCUGACGGACCUGGAUAAGGCUAAAAUGGAAGUAACCCAGCUCAAAACUGAGGUGAAGCUGGAAAGGGCGAAGACCUCCAAAUGCUGUGAAGAGAUUACGGAGUACAUUCAGAGCGGAGCAGAGGAGGAUCCAUUGGUCAAAGGCAUUCCAGAGGAAAAGAACCCAUUCAAGGAGAAAGGUGGAUGUGUCAUUUGCUAAUGUGGACAGAGUUUUGCAGUUUAGUAUUCAAUGCAGCCCAUGGACACCUGCUCAAAUGUAAUCAUAGCUGGAAUCCACUCUGCUCCCUGAAAAAGGACAAUCACAAACAUGGAUAGAUGUUCGAAUAACUCUAAAUGGCUCUUUCUCCCUUGCAAAUGAGUCCUCAGGAUCUGGACCCUCAUAUGUUGUGUAUUCAUCUUUGAAGUGAUGUAAUAAAUCUGACUACCAUUGUGCACUGAUCACCAGAGACUUGCUUGAUGGACUAAUACAUGUAUUUCUUUCUUAGGCAGCCAGCCAAAGGGUAACAUCUGUAUAACAAUACUGGGUGAAAGUGCAUUUUUGAGCUUGUAAUUAACAUGAUAAAUCAAGGCUUAAUCGGUGGAAUAAUUUAGCUAUUCAAUAAAACCAAAGUUACAUGGCAAAAGGCCACUACA